GUCUACGGCCAUACCAACCUGAACGCAUCCGAUCUCGUCCGAUCUCAUCCGAUUUCGUCUGAUCUCGGAAGCUAAGCAGGGUUGGGCCUGGUUAGUACUUGAAUGGGAGAAGUUAUCUGCUAAAAAAA
ensembl:rRNA 5S_rRNA 5S ribosomal RNA